rnacentral:rRNA from 1 species
AUACGGGGCUUAUGUCUUGUAAUUGGAAUGAUGGGAAUUUAAACCUCUUCCAGAGUAUCAAUUGGAGGGCAAGUCUGGUGCCAGCAGCCGCGGUAAUUCCAGCUCCAAUAGCGUAUAUUAAAAUUGUUGCAGUUAAAAAGCUCGUAGUUGAAUUUCUGCUGCAUUGCAUUUUCUCCUAUACGAGUUUUUGCAUUGUGGCUUAUUUCGGUUAUAAAAUUUAUUUUUAUUUCCGGAUGUUUACUUUGAGAAAAUUAGAGUGCUCAAAGCAGGCUUUUGCCUUGAAUAGUUUAGCAUGGAAUAAUAAAGUAGGACUUUGGUUCUAUUUUGUUGGUUUUAGGUACCAAAGUAAUGGUUAAUAGGAACAGUUGGGGGCAUUCGUAUUUAAA